rnacentral:rRNA from 1 species
AUUUUUUAACACACACUCGCAUGUAAUGAAAUAAAUAAUGUUGUUGUGCGCAAGCACGAAUGUACAACUUUCAACAACGGAUCUCUUGGCUCUCGCAUCGAUGAAGAACGCAGCGAAAUGCGAUAAGUAAUGUGAAUUGCAGAAUUCAGUGAAUCAUCGAAUCUUUGAACGCACCUUGCACCCUUUGGUAUUCCGAAGGGUAUGCUCGUUUGAGUGUCAUUGUACUCUCACACUCACCAAUUUUUGGAUUGGGGAGCGGUGGACUUGGGUGUUUGCUGCUUGACCGCGGCUCACCUCAAAUGCAUUAGUGCAACUCUGGGUUGGACAUAGUACGGCGUGAUAAGUGUCUUCGCCGGCACCUCAGUAAGAGGGUGGCCAAUUGAGGGCUCUGCGCUUCAAACUGUCCUUUGCUGGACAAUCUUUGACAACUUGACCUCAAAUCGAGUAGGACUACCCGCUGAACUUAAGCAUAUCAAUAAGCGGAGGAAAAGAAACUAACAAGGAUUCCCCUAGUAACGGCGAGUGAAGAGGGAAANAGCUCAAAUUUUUGAAUCUGGGCGUC